GCUGUAGCUCAGUGGCAAAGCAUCUGCUUUGCUUGUAGAACGUCCCAGCUUCGUUCUCUGGCAUCUCCA